CAAUGGGGUGGCGGCUGCUACACAUGCAGUCGAACGAAGGCUUCGGCCUUAUUGGGGCACGGGUGCGUAACGCGUGGGAAUCUACCCUUAGGUUCGGAAUAACAGUUGGAAACGACUGCUAAUACCGGAUGAUGACGUAAGUCCAAAGAUUUAUCGCCUAGGGAUGAGCCCGCGUAGGAUUAUCUAGUUGGUGUGGUAAAGGCGCACCAAGGCGACAAUCCUUAUCUGGUCUGAGAGGAUGAUCACCCACACUGGGACUGAGACACGGCCCACACUCCUACGGGAGGCAGCAGUGGGGAAUAUUGGACAAUGGGCGAAAGCCUGAUCCACCAAUGCCGCGUGAGUGAUGAAAGCCUUAUGGUUGUAAAGCUCUUUUACCCGGGAUGAUAAUGACAGUACCGGGAGAAUAAGCUCCGGCUAACUCCGUGCCACCAGCCGCGGUAAUACGGAGGGAGCUAGCGUUAUUCGGAAUUACUGGGCGUAAAGCGCACGUAGGCGGCUUUGUAAGUAAGAGGUGAAAGCCUGGGGCUCAACACCACAACUGCCUUUUAUACUGCGUCGCUUGAAUCCAGGAGAGGUGAGUGGAAUUCCGAGUGUAUAGGUGAAAUUCUUAGAUAUUCGGAAAAACACCACUGGCGAAGGCGGCUCACUGGACUGGUAUUGACGCUGAGGUGCGAAAGCGUGUGGAGCAAACAGGAUUAUAUACCCUGGUAGUCCACGCCGUAAACGAUGAUAACUAUCUGUCGGGGCUCUUAUAGCUUCUGUGGCGCAGCUAACGCAUUAAGUUAUCCGCCUGGGGAGUACGGCCGCAAGGUUAAAACUCACAUGAAUUGUCGGGGGCCUGCACAAGCGGUGGAGCAUGUGGUUUAUUUCUAAGCAACGCGCACAACCUUACCAGCGUUUGACAUGUCCGGACGAUAUCUGGAGACAGAUCUCUUCCCUUCUGGGACUGUAACACACGUGCUGCAUGGCUGUCGUCAGCUCGUGUCGUGAGAUGAUUGUGUUAAGUCCCGCACGAGCGCAACCCUCGCCUUUAGUUAUCCAUCAUUCAGUGGGACUCUAAGGAACCGCCGGUGAUAGCCGGAGAAAGUGGGAUGACGUCAGUCCUCAUGGCCCUACGCGCUGUGCUACACACUGCUACAAUGGCGGGGUACGUGGCACAUCUCGCAGGGUGUGUCUUAUUCAACGCCUCUCAUUCGAAUGUUCCUGGAAUCCUGGACCUGAAGGCCGGA
rnacentral:rRNA from 1 species